rnacentral:lncRNA from 1 species
CGAAUCUCUAAGCUAAGUUCCUAUGACUUUCGACUUGUUGAACCAGGUUCGUAUUCAUAUUAAUUUGGAGUUUGCUUGCUCCCCUCGAGACAGAUUUUCACUACAAAUAAAAUAACCGGAUAGAGAGAUUUCCUUACUUAUAGAGUAGAGCCAGACUGUGCUUCUCCAUUCAUUCCUUACUUUGGCUUUAACCCAACCUUAUCAGAUCCAAACUUAGCUUACUUGGCUGUUUUGCUCGUGAGACAGAGGGAUUCUACCACCUGCGGCCUAAUAUAAUAAUAAACUUAAUAAUUUGACCGAGGUAUUUGGAUGUGGCUCGCACUAAUCUUAUCCGAGACAGAGGCUCAAAUAAAUAAACUCCUGAGACUGGCCUAAAAGAGUUAAUUGGUGCUCUGCGAGACAGGGUUUUUUGGAAAGCUGGAACUCCAGUUCAACGAUUCCUUCCGAGUGUAAGAAGCUAGACAGACCGGGGCAUUUACCGGGGGGGUUACCUAAUAGCUAUGGCAAGGAAAGAAGCAAGCGUCACAAACGUAUUAAAAAAGUCAAUGUUCGAAUUCACAGGUUAGUUCAAGCUCAGACAGAACAAAGAGCUAAGACAGCUCGUGCUUUCAAGCCUGCCGGGUACCUUCUUAUAUUAUAGCAGUACCAGAGGUUCCUACAGAUUGAUUUGAAUAGAACACUACACUAUAGAUUCUUGACAACCAUUUCCAUUAGAUGGACAAAUAGAAUGUGCUUAUCUCUUUCCUCUCAAUUGUUUUCAGUAAUUCGAUAUUGACAUUUUGUGAUUAGAUCAAAAAGAUUACUGCCACUCAGAUCAUUUCCAACUUCCUGCUCAAUCAACCUCCUUAGUUGAAAACAAUUCCUACUAAACUGGGAUCAAGGAGAACCCCCUUUCCCAAAGGGGAACCACCAUGAGCUAAACUAGGAUAGGAAAUCCAGAAAUGCAAGAAAAGAGAGGAAUGCUAUAUAAUCCAUUUUACCGCUCAUCCUCUUUCAAAGCUAAGUUCCUAUGUGAAUGAAAAACAAAAUGAAAAUGAAUCAACCUUACCCUUCCCUUAAUGUUUGUAACGUAGGCAUGUGUUAAGCUAAUGGAUUUCUGUUCAGUACUUGCUUACUACCUUUCUAGUUGACAGGGACAGGCGAGUUGAAAUAAGAGAAGAAUGAAGGCCUUCAUAAGGAGUUAUAGAUAACCCAGUCGUGGAAGUUAAUGAGUUAAGCCAAGGUAGGUAAGUAAAGAUUGGAGUGAUGGGAAAGACUAUCUGUUUCCUGUAGAUGAGCUAGGCAAAGAACGUUCUCAAGGAAUAUCUCUAUCGUAUUCAUAGCUCGUCUCGUAUUGAUGGAUAAAGAUGCGAAACCUUUGCUGAGGAAUAAGAGUGCUCUUGGGAUCCAGCUGCUUUCAAAUCUCUAUACUUUACUUUACUACAACUAGAUUUCACAAAGCCGUAUAGGCAUCCGUUGUUGGGAAUUCCGUUAUAGGGCUUGGUAACUACGGUCAUAUACGCUAUGGAUAUUAUAAAAGGGCUGUUCUUAGGUGAAGCUGGGCCCUGAGCCAAUACCAGCCCGAUACUGGUAUCUCGAUACGCAUUUCUUGAAACUGGCACUGCACCUGCGCCCACGCCCUCGGACGAGUUAUAUUCCUUUUUAGCUAUAUCCCCCCAGUCUCUACUUCUUCUAUAUCUGAUGAUACCUUAGCCGGGGGACGACUACGAGGAAGAAAACGAAUGAAGGCCUAUUUCCUUUUCCCGGUGGUGGCUACCUCGACUCCAAUAACAAAGAAGAACUGUAACCCGUACAGCCAAUCUAGACUAGACGAAGAAGUUUCGAUAGCCACACCAAUAGACUGAAUUAGUCCUUCUACCUGUCCGAAGCGCCUCUAUCAUUUGGCCGAGAAAGGCGUCGGCAUAAUAAGAUAGGAUAGAAGAUAGAAGCCAGCUAUGUGCCAUUGUAAAAAUGGUUUGCUAUCACCUUGACCUAAAGAAAAAAGUUUUCUUCUAUGGCUCCACUCGCUACUUUUUUUCCGCUCGUUCCCUAUCUAUGGUCGAGCACUUCGUUCAUGAGUUGCUAUCACUUUAGCUGUAAUAACUAGAACUUCUGCUAUCUUCUCAAGCAAGUUCAAAUUGCUUUCCUUAGGACGAGCUUUUAAGGCAAAGUAGAAAGAGCUUAUUUAUUCGUCGAUAAAAAGCCUUUACUUAAAACUAAAAAGGAAUAGAACCGAAAGCUCUUUUCCAAUAUAAAUGUCAACAAGCACCUGACAGACGCUCAUCUACUUCCAUUUCCUAUUUUUUAUCAAUAUCCUUCCCUUCCCUUCCCUUAUAGUUAUAGUUAUAGAUAGUAUUCUUUCCUUCGCUUUUCUUCCUCUGGGCAUCAAAGGAGGGCGUAGACCAAUAUUUCAUUAAAUAAAAAAGCUCUUCAUCGCUGGAAACGGACUCGCUUCGCUAGCUCUAGGUGAAUUUGCAAAACGGGGAAGAAGGGUAUUUUAUUUCGAAAGUCAACCGUUCCCGUAACCAGAACCGAACAAGGAAGCUGGGCGUAGACCCGUUACUUCUUACUUUACUACGGUGGAGGGGAUGCCAUUAUUCCAAUGCGUAUUGACUACGUCGUAGGAACAGCGAUAGCGAUUGCGUGGGAACACCUUUCGCUCGAGGAGAGGAAUGCGGACAACCGGCGAAUAGUUUUCAGAUGAAGGUACAGAUCCGGAUUCACGGAUCAAAAAAGCAAGGAGCUCCUCAUUAGAGGACAGACCCAGCGCUCGAGGAUACGGAUUCGAUUGACCCUCUCCAUUUGCUAGCGCUUGAUACGAACCCUAGAGAAUGUGCUAUUCCCUUUUCGCUAGCUCACAUGCAUGUCCUAUUCCUCAUUCGCUACGGAUAUCCUUCAGCUUCCUGCUUCCGCUUCUUCUAUAUCUGAUUCAACCUUAGCCGAGGAGGGUUCAUUUUAGUUUCAUAUAUAUGGGAAAUCCUUACUUCACAUUUUUACCUUGGCUUGGGAAGUCACCACAGGAUUUGAUAAAACUCAUCUUCAUAUAUAUGUAUAUGUAAAAGUAGUGCUUUCAAUAACAAAACCUUUGCUUUGAACUGCUUUUCCAAGGAUCUACACUGGGCUAACUUGAAUCUGUUUACUUCACUUCUAUUUGAAACUACUCCUCCCGUCGAGAGUUUCUUUCUAUAUGAUAAUUUGAGAUUGCUCUACCGGACCUGAGUAGUAAGUGUUGACUCAUGCGAGUCACUCCUUCUCAGCUUUGACUUCUUGGCUGGCUUGAUGCUCAGUCUGGCCAAGGGGAUGACCCCCUUUUCUCUACUUUACUUUGUUUAGCUUUGCGAAUGAUACUUUUUCUUUUAAAUAAAGCUUUUUCAAAAUUCUAUUGCAGCACUUUUGCUAGAAAAAAAGCACGCACAAAAAGCACAUUUCUUCCUAGUACUUUUAUUUUUCACCCACCCAUAGGAAAGAUACGUAGCUCGGUCAGGGCAUAUCCUAAAGCCAUUGCCUCCAGCCAGUAGUAGUGGUAGGUAAGCAUCUUAAGUUAGGGGUGAAAUUGCUUUUCUGACAAGGAAAGGGAUUGUAGGCAAGCCUGUAUAAUUUCCUCUUACCUCUUCUCUGCAUUUCCAUCUUUCAACAUAUUCCCAAGCCUGGUGCUCGCUCGGUAAUUUCUUGUUUCACUGCUGCCUCUAACUUAUUUGGUUUAAAGCCUUCAUUGUACGACUGAGGAUUGGGUAGAUGCUGAUUCCGCGGCUCAGAUUCAAAUAGAACAGAACUGACCACUUUCGUCUGAAUCAUAAUUUCUCGAAAGAACUCUUUCGAUAAUGUGUUUUUAUUCCACUCAAUUAGAUAUAGAGAUGCUAGACUGGACUGUCUGCUUUCUUAGUGGACACGAGACCCUGCUCCUUCUUCUUUCUCAUUUGCCUCUUUCUUGAUCGUUUAGUUCUUGGCUUUCAUCCCCAGUGAGUAACUACGGCACGAAAGAGUAACGUAUAACGUGACGAUCCUAAAAGAGAACCAAAAGCUAGGCAGAAGAAGAAUUCCAUUCAAGCGAAGAACAGAGUGAAAACAAUCCGCGAACCGAUGAUCAUUUUUCCACUGACUGCUAUAAGAUAUAACUGAAUAUUUGGGUCUUUAAAUGGCUUUUUCUUCUUCUUCCGUGAUUCGGUAUCAGAGCAACGAACUUCUAGGACUGAUCUAGGUUGGAAGUUCGCUGGGGUUGCCUAGCGAUAUCACUUAGCUCAAUCUAAAGAUAUCUGAGCUUGUACCGCAUGGUUGGAGGCAAGAAAAGCAGAAGCACCAAUGACCUAGCCACCGAUCAGUAUAUUAGAAGGUUUUAUAAGCAGCUCUUUCUUAGCUUAUAUAACUGCACCGUAUCCAACGUACGCUCAUAUAGGCUCAACUAGUAAUACCAAUGUAGGAACUCCGAUUGGUUUCUCACAGGUCGGAUCCAAUAAUAUAAUAAAUAGACUUUAUGGUAAGGAGAACGAAGCUAGCAAAGCCAGGCAGAGAGAGUUCUUCUUGAUAGGAAUAUCGGGAGAAGGGCUUAUUGAUAGGAAUAGAGAAGCAUAGGAGGAAAACAGGGCGGAUGACUCUAUGACUUGUAAAAAAUAGGGCUUGUAAGGAGUCUAAUAAAACUAGAAUCGUUACGUUACUUGGUAUUACUAGUCUAGUAAAGUAGAUAUGUUUUUUCUCGCCCAUUUUUCUGCCGUCUCAUAUGUAUGAGUAGCAGUAUUGGCAUUGAAAGAACGUGGGUACAGGAAAUAGGGCGGUGGGGGCUAGGCUAGGUCAUGUGUCUAUUGGGAUAGGUAAGAGUUUAUGGAGGUCUCACUCUUCUAUGAUAUGGGUCUUUUGUACUACUCCUCUCUUCUUGUCGUACUCGUCUUUGCAGUGAAAUAAAUGGUUUUGGGUAUGGAGAACUAUGAGAUAGAUCACUUUCUUACAACUUGAUUUAUUCAAAGCAAACUAGAUACCAUAUCUACAGGUCCGUUGGAGAACUCUAAGUAGUAGUUGAAGCAAGGCAUUAGGAAGAUAGGUCCCACGUAGGGAGGGGAGUUUCUAAUUGGACGUGCAUUCAUUCCCUGGGGAGGGAGUACCGCUUUAAGUGCCGGAUUUGUACACAUAGUAUAGUAAAGACAUGAGGGUAUUCAAUUUUUGAAUAUAACAUGAAAGAAACCUCUCUCCUCUAGCUGGAGAAAGAAGGCUGGUUCUCGGUAGUCGAGGAGAGGUGGAAUCUUUCUUAGAACGGAAUGUUAAGACACGACCCAACAUGUUUCCAGGCAGGUAACGUAUAGAAGACUGAAAGUUGAAGUUCCGGUGGGUCUCGUCAAUCCUUCCUUAUUGCGCCUGCCCCUAAUUGGAGCUCUUCUUAUCUAUUUCUAUACCGAGAAUAGCUUUAUUGACGGGCUGAACGAACCCCUCACUUGGCUAACUCAACAAUCAUAUGUCUGAGAGUCUGGUCUAACUAAGCGGAUUGGAGGCGGGCAUUUUCAUUUCAACGUAGCAGUAGGGAAAGUGAUUUCGGGGGGUUAGUACACAUGGGCAGUUGGGGCAGUUACAGGUAGUUAAGUUCGGUCUUAUUCUUAUGGGCAAGUGGUCCUAGAAUCUCUCUUUCCUUCUCUAAAGUAUAGCUUUACGAAACUAGAAUAUGAGUAAAUAUAGAAAUAGAAUAAUAAAUAAGAAUAUCAUAUAGCCGUGUAUUAGUAAGGAUAGGUUUUGGUGAGUAGUAGUUCUUGGCAUUAGUAAGCUAGCUUCACUAGACUAUCUAUGACAGGAAAUUAGGUAAAUGCACAAUAUCUUUUCAAUGAAGUGAAUGAAGAAAGAUUCAUAGGAAAUGAACAAUAGAAAGAGUACUAUUCUUCAGUUACUCUUUUUUCUUGUCUUAGAAUAGAGAAUGUGUCAAUGGAUUAGCUGACUUUACUAUGUUCCUGUCUUCAAGUAUAAGUGAGUUGGUGUCAACGAAUAGUUGCUUAUUGCACUACUCAGUGAAUGAGAUAUAGCAUAUAUAAUGGAUUUUUCUUUUCCUUUUACUAUACUAACAUUCUUCCUUUAUUCUACUUACUUCUUUCUCGUCUGUGUCAAUGAGAAGUAAGAGUAUUCUCGUACUACGAAGAAUAGGCAAAUCUUUGAUUUGGAAGAGUUUUUUACUCAUAUCUUUGGGACCUUUAAGAGGAAAUGAGUGACUUUCUGCCGGAGAAUAGUAGUCAUCUGUACUCGUCUUUUGUCCUUCCAUACUUACUAAGCAAACUAGGUCACACCUGGACAACUAGGGAACAUAAGCGGGUGAUCUAAUGAUUCAGUGGGGAAAGCUGUUCAUAAGGACCGGUGAGAUGGUACUCCCCUGUGGUAUCCCAAGAACCGUAUUCCCAUGGGCAUUUCCUCCAAAAUAGGCUGUUUUGAGAAAGUAAUCUAUUAGCUGCACAAGUCCAGAGUUGUGUGUACCCCUAGUGAAAGAGUGGAGGAGUUCAGACGCAUAUCGAUACCAAAGUGAGAAGCCUCUUAAUGAUGGAGAACCUGCCUCUGCCAAAUGCCCAAUACAAGCAAGCAGGGGGAGCGGAUUCCCAGAGAGAAUUCCCGUGUUACUCUGAUAUUAGAAAUAGAGGAAACUAGCACUUUAGAAAGAAUGCAGAAAAAUGAUGGAACUAGAACGAAGCUCUACAAAGUUCACAACUCACCAUUGCAACCGUAGGAAUCUCUCCGAGGGUAGUAGGUCGGGGGAGCACCUUCCCUUUGCCUUAUGGGACCCUCGAUCAUACUCUUUUCUGAUAGCCGGAAAGGAAUGACCUAACUUACCACUGAGUAGGCGCCCUUUUUCUUUUCCUUCUAAACUAGCUGCUCUCGCUCUACCAGUUCGUACUGAACUUUCACUUUAAUUUAUAGGCGAUUUGCAUUAUCCGUUGGAUAAAAAUAAAUAUCAUAAUCAAGUAGAUAAUGCGAUGACUGCCUAUCUCUUUCGAGAAGGAGUCCUUUUUCCGAUACUUACUAUUGGGGUAGGCUAAGGUUACAUAGAUUGUCUCCUAUCUCUCCCCUGUCCUCUCGAGCUAAUGACUAAACCGACCCACGACGAGAGGAUCAACCACUGCCAUAGAAAGAGCAGCGACUAACUAAAACCAAGGAAUCCAUCAUCUGGCAUAUUGGCAAUGGGCGAACUGUCCGAGUGUGGCGUGAUCCGUGGAUUCCCAGAGCCAGCACUCUAACCAACUGAGCGAUUUCCCCAACUUUCAAUUGCUAAAAACAGCAGUUCUUUCAUUUCGGUAUAUUUAUAUAUAGCUUUCGCCCUUUAGUUCAAACAAACUUCAUCUCCUGCCCUGCCCUGCGUCGGCUCCUCAAAAUGGCCUAAAGUACCUCGCCGAUAAGCGAGUUCAACCACAUCGUGAACCAAUUGAAGUCGGUCGAGUACCCAUUGGGCGAUGAGUAGAAGGCACACUGCUUUUUUUUCCCUCUAUGCCGGAUAGUUGGUCCACAACCUUACUUAUAUGUUUAUGUGGCAACGCCAAAUUCUCUACUAUACUAUACUAUACUAAGAUGUUUCAGUUCGCUAGGUUGUCUCUUGCCUGCCCGUGCUACAAUUCCUUACUCAAAAGGACUAGAGUGCUAAGCUGCCUUCCCGGCACCACCACUAUAAUGAAUGGCUCAAACAAAUAGGAGAUGAGAGAGCCCUUUUGAUCCUUUCUAUUCUAUAAUAUAAAGAGAAGCUUGUUCAUCUAUCUAGAGAAUGAAAAGGAACUAAUGCCACUGAUAAGAAAUACAUAGACCGUACGCCCACUUACCACUCUACCACUUCAAUUCCAUGACGGACUUCUCCGAUACCUAGCUUGAGAGAGAUCACAGGCAUGUGGUGAACCAUACCGAGAGAAAGAGCACUGAAAUGAACCAUAUCGAGCACAGGUCUCACUCUACAAGUAAAGUUCGAUGAGCUCUUAGCGGAGUUGUGCCUACUAUCUACUAAGUGUGUGCUAGGGAAAGAAAGCAAGCAGAGCAGUUCUCACUCUGUCCGGUGACCAAGAAAGAAAGCUUCAAGAAUACCGUAAACAGAUCAGAGAAACCUCAUACCGAAUCGCCACGUGAAAGCGGGGUUAAGGUAAGGCAGGAAAGACUGACGCCGAAAGAUAUGUUUUGAAGAGAGCUCCAUCGGGUUGAAGCCGAAUUGCAGAGAAUCAAGAUCUUCUACCUUUGUUUGUUCCAUCAAUGCCCUUCGGACUGGCCUAAGAGUUGGGUCCCUGUCUGUAAUUAUGUGGCUAGGUAACCCAUUUAUGGCUUGUGGUCUUUCUGCUUAUGACGUAGCACUAUUCCAUCUUGUAAAUAACGCCUUCUUUAAGGCGCUACUAUUUCUAGCGGCAUAGGUGCUUUAUCACAAUACGAAACAUGUACAUACGAUUCCUAUUUAGAGAUAUUCCUACGACGUAGUAAAGAAAUUAAUAACAAAUACGAAUACGAAUUACGCCUACGAGCCAAGGACGAUAUAUGUAUAUGACUACGCCAAUACUUGACUUGUUUCAAUCAAUUCUCCAGGGCCCCUAGAGAAUUGAUUGAAAUCGUACGUCUAUCGCUAUCCAGUGCCUUUUCAUCGAGGAAGUACAUCCGAUGCUUGGCUCCGACAGCUGAGGCCACCCUUCCCUCUUCUAACUGGUAUGUAUGUGUAUUGGACAAUCCUUUCAUCUUGUUAGCACUUACUUUUCCGUGCUACCCAUCCAUUCAUUAACGUGAAUAUAAGAAUAGGGCCCCGGAUAUCUUUGCCUCGAAGCCGGUGGAAGGUGAAAAGCACAAAACUAAGCCUUAUCCAUCCGCUGGUCUAAAGAAGACCUUUUCGGCCGAUAGAGAGCUUAUUAAUAAAAACAUUAUGCAGGGGCUGAGAAUGCGUUGACAGCUGAAGCAACAAAAGAACUUUUCCAUAGAUAGGCGUACGUACUAUGGAUGAAUUACCACCUCCUUGGAGGAGUGAAUGCAAGGACCACUAAAAAACGGAUACUUUACCGAAAAGCCUUUGCUUCUUCUUUCGAUUGGAUAGAAGCUCAUACUCCACUUCAACAACUGGUUUGGUGCUGAUGUGUCCAAAUCCCAUGCUCCUACGCCGGGUUGAUUGAUGUGUCAAAGACUAAUGCUCCUUCGAAGGUUUUGAUAGGUAAAGCUGUGGCCCAAGAACCCACUACAUCUAAGCCCAAGUCCAAACAAAACUAGACCCAAGAAUGCUGGAAUGAGAAUCCUUACCCGUGCCGUGACGACCAUGCAUACUUUUCUGACCUAUGUAUGCCUUUCCUCGCCUACUUCGUUCUUGCUUUCCAAAGAAACUUAUUUUAUACUUGCUGUGGCUAAUACCCCAUAAAUUCAUUCUGAGCAGAGCUUUCUAGCAGAUUGAUUGAGCUAUGUAAGAGUAAGUACGUGAUGAGAAUCUUGUCAUCAAAGUGAAAGCACAUCUUUGAGAGUUUCAUAUAUUCCAAUAUGAAGUGAAAGGGAGUCAGAGGUUAGCAAAUCCUUAUCAAGGUGUCUUCUUUUGACUAGCCCCAUUCCAGGAGAGUAGGUCUUGCUCGCUAUCUUGAAAGCAGUCCUAUACAACCGUACUCAGAAUUCCACUUGGCAUACCAGUUUCAUAUAAGGACCAGACUCUCCUAUCUAAAGUGGAAAUUGAGAAAGAAGUGUUGUUUCUUUCAAACGUUGCUUCAUUGACUUCUGUCGACAACCUAUUGCUUUUGGAAGAGAAUAUUGGAAGCGUAAGAAUAGAAUAUAGAGCUUUGAGUUUAGGAAUGCUGCAAGAAAAGAAGAAAAUCAAGUAUACGUUUGCUUGUUGGCUUGAGCACUCGUUUCAGAAGAACCUUCUUUUGGGAUAACUCUUUCAGGCAAUAUCUCGCUGUAGCAGUAAUAGCCCAAUGGCUUCUAGUUGUUUUUUUUACCCUUCCGGGCUCUUUUCCCCCGGCGGCUAGUUUCAGCAUAAAAGGAAGAAGUCGGGUCCGCGCGGUUCGCCUUUUCGAAUGCAGCAGUGUUUUUGGCUUUGGCAAUACCAGCUAGCUAGCUACUUACUUGUGUGGGAGUCCUAUAAAGAAAAGCCUGAGUUAUAGACUGACUAAAGAAAUCCACCUAAGCCGUAAGUUUUUGUUACAGCUGGCACACCUGCUUGCAAACUAGAAAAUCUGAUUCUAGUAGAAAGUGGACUAAGUCUUAAGAGAGAUAAGCCGGUCUUUAUACACUGGCCCUACUUCGAAUUCAGUCAGUGGCCAGAUGCAUUGUAAGCAAUUCCAGUCCCAGCUGCUGAGGUGGCGUAGUCAGCCCUACCUAUACCUAAGUAUUGAACAAAACCAACCAUUUAUAUUAUCCUGCAUAUUAAUUAAUACUUUCGUUAGAAAAUAGAAAAACCAACGGAAAAUCAAGUCUCAUGUUGCUCCUCAGAAAACGCGUAUAGUAUAUAGUAUAUAGUAUAUAGUAUAUAGUAUAUAGUAUAUAGUAUAUAGUAGUAGUAGUAUCAUUGGCCAAAGUAAAGUCGAUGGGACAAACGCUGUUCGUUAGAACUAGCAUUUUGUUUUGUCAUGGAAUCAAGUCUAUUUGUUCGAAUGUUCUUUUUUUCGUUUCGUUGGAAAAACCUACGCCCACAUAUUGAUCUUUAAGUCUCCUUUCUCUUUUGGGAGCAGAGCUGAAAAAGAUGGACAGUAACGAUCGCGUAAUAUCAAUUUAUCGGCCUCGUCAUCGAAAGCGGCUUCCAAUUGCUCGGAAAUUCUCAGCUAUAUGGGGGACUUUGAUGGUGAGCAAAAAGAAUUGAUCAAGAAAUUGGUAAACUUUCGCAUGAUCGAUGGUAAAAGAACGAGAGUUCGUGCUAUUGUUUAUAAAACUUUUCACCGCCUAGCUCGAACUGAACGCGAUGUAAUCAAACUUAUGGUUGACGCCGUAGAUAAUAUAAAGCCAAUAUGCGAAGUGGUCAAAGUAGGAGUCGCAGGUACUAUUUAUGAUGUUCCUGGGAUUGUAGCCAGGGAUCGUCAACAAACCUUAGCUAUUCGUUGGAUCCUUGGAGCAGCUUUCAAACGACGUAUAAGCUACAGGAUAAGCUUAGAGAAAUGUUCAUUUGCUGAGAUACUGGAUGCUUACCGAAAGAGGGGAAUUUCACGUAAGAGAAGGGAGAAUCUUCAUGGACUGGCUUCCACCAAUCGGAGUUUCGCGCAUUUCAGAUGGUGGUAAAGUGAUACCACAUAAGGAGCUCUUCCUCAUUCAGUCAUACUCAACAAAAGUCAGAAAUGUUUGACCCUGAUCCUUUUUUCAUCUUCAUAUAGAAAGAAAAUCGGCCUUCCUCAUACUCCCCCCUUCAUUCAUGGAGUUGGAGGAAUCCACAAGAGGCCUGCCCGUUCAUAAUUGCAUAAAAGAACCAUUCUUUUUAUGAAAACAAACAAGCAAGGGAUUGAGCAACUAGCGCUAGGCGCAUCCUCUUGCUGGGAUGGUUUGAGACAAAGAUUUUACUUUGACUUAUACUUUGACUUAUACUUAGGAUUAGGAUCAGCUUGCGAAUUUGCAGCACCGUAUCUAUAUCUAUAUCUAUAUCUAUAUCUAUAUCUAUAUCUAUAGUAGAAUCAAGGGCAAAGAAAGGCAAGUCUCAUUAGCCUUCGUCGAUGGGACAAACGCUGUUCGUUAGAACUAGCAUUUUGUUUUUUCUCGGUAAGAAGGCUGCGUGUUCAACAAUGGGUUCGGCAACUACCAUCUGUAGUGACAAGACCGGUACACUCACUUGAAAUCCGGUAGUAACAUUGUGUUCUUUCACCUCUUAUGAGUCUCGGAGCAAACAACAAAGCAUCAGAUGAGAAAAGGAUCUUCUCAACCUCUUACGAUUUCAAUUGACCAAUGCCAUAGUAUAGUAAAGAUCCGCAGUACAGGUGUAACAGCAAUCAAGCUACUAAGGAUAAGGAUAAGGAUAAGGAUAAGGAAGAAGUGCUCUUUAUUUACAAUAUGGGCUUUCGUAAGCAUAAAUAUCAAAAGAGAGGAUACCACACCAGAUACGGUGCAACAUACUUGAGUGGAAAGAGGAGAGUUUUUCCUCCGAGGGCGAGUUCGAUCAGGCAGACAUCGCAAUGGAUGGUUCCAAUAGGAAUAGUAGUCCAGUGAUUGUCAGUGCAUAUUCAUUAGUAUACGAUACUUAAUACUGUUGCAUAGUCUAGGUUACCGAAUAGGAAUAGCAUAGCAAAGAAUCCUACGCUAAGGAAUGUGUCACCUACUAGGUUCACAGUAAGGGCCGCCCUUAAUAGCAGACUUGUUAGCUUGGAGUCGUGUAUAUCAUAAGUUGAUUAGUAGGUAUGAGCUUACCCCGAUACCUUCUCAACCUAGGAACAUAAUUAGGUAGUUGUCCCCAGCUACGAGCACAAGCAUAAAGAAUGUUAACAUAGAGAGGUCUGAGAAGAAUCGUUGGUUGUGUGUAUCUCCUGCCAUAUCAUAUAGCUUAACGAGAAGAUGUGUACUAGUGCUUAUACAGUUACUACAGCGAGGUCUUCGAUGAGCGGUUAGGCUAUCGAAUAGGAAUCCUCAGUCAACUGUGCCAUUCUGAAUCGAUUCAGCUACCAAGUCGAAUUGAUACAGGUGAUCCUGAUAGACCCACUUCAUAGAAUGCUACGUAAGAUAGGAGAGCUGUUGUACACAUAGCUACACAAGUAAUAAUAUGUGCACCAGUUUUUCUUACCUUACGUCCAAGGAGUCCUGCACCCAUUGCACCUAGCAUAGGGAGAGUCAGAAUAGACCCUAGGGCCCGAAGGACGAUACAUGUUAGCUUAGUUAAAUUUCUCCUUGUAGACGGUAAUAUGCUACAAGAAUACCUAUACCUAUAGCUUAUUCUGCACCUGCAAUAGCGAUGAUGUAGAUACUAGAUGUUUGUCCUACGAUAUCAUCGAAUGAGAAUGAGCUUACAAUCACUAGUACUGUCACAGCUAGCAGCAUGAUUUCAAUUGAGAUCAGCAUGAGGAUGAUCUAUCUACUUUCGGUUGAGGACGAAUCCUAGGAUACCGAGAAGAAAGAGUACGAUAGAGAGUGUCAUGUUAAUGUUUGAUUACCAGAGCAAUGACCACAGGAAGGAAACCGAGUCAACACAUUGCGUAGGGAUAGCAAUACCCAAAUACUCUAACUCUAGGUAGUCUAUGUCUGUAUAGGUAUGGGGAGGGAGAUACCUGAGAGGAUACAUAUAGGGCUAACUAUAUACAACCCUCACCUCGGGCCAUCAGAGAGAUCGUAUGUAUCACCAGCAUCAGGAUAUGUAUUUCGGAAUUACGCGCUGGUGCAGAUUUGUACGUUCAGGUUAUCCAUGACUUCAUUAGUGUCACGGAUUCGCCCGAACUUUUGUCGCAUAGUGCUCUGCCGAUCCAUAAGCUGCACCAGCAUUAGAUAGACUAGAGAAGUGUUGUGCGACUUGCUUCUUUACAUCCACUACAUAGAUAGACUUAGCAUCAGCAGCUAUACCAUGAGUAUGAGCAGAUCGUCGAUAAUCCUUGGCAUCAAAGGUAGCACCUCACAAAGUGGCCAACAAGUCUACCGGACCAUAGACGAGUAGGUUAGGAUCAAGAUCUCGGGCUUCCAUUAGACUAGGAGCUACUUCGAUCUUCAUACCGCGCGCAUGUAGAGGAGUUUUGGCAUCGCAUCGAGAUGCUUCUUAUCUUAAGAGUACUUCGCUAUUGCCGCUCUAUGAAAGCAGGUAUUGGAUCUCUAUUCCGAACGAGGAAAGAAGACUGAACUGGGGUAGUUUAUUCUGAUCCAACAACUGGCUAUUAACAUUGGUUGAUGCUUCAUUCAUACAAAUCUCCUUACGGAGGAUAGUCAAGAGAGUGAGUGGUUUCCCCUUAAGAUAGAAUAGCAGGCCACAUGGUAUAAUCCCUUCCCUUAUAGGACAAGGGAUUAGAAGGUUGACAAAUGAAGCCAAACGUAGUGAUACUCUAGCACGGAGAACCAAGAAGGGUGCUUCUGCUACAACCAAAACCCUCUAUCUCAUGCCUACUUGAUCUCAUAACACUUAUAGUAAGAAUGAAUCCCCUGAUUAUAGAUUAAAAGGGAUAUUGGCGUGUAAUACUUUGAUUUCUUAUAUUUAACAAGAAUCCUUGAUUUAUUUAAUAAAUCGCUCUUGCUUGCGCAAGGGAUAUGCUGAUUCUUAGCAUAGCUUUUUUACCGAAUACAAGGAUUCCUUGGCACCUGAUACUGCUGAAGAGAAUGAUUUAGUGGAGGAGACUGGAGGUACUACGAAGAGUGUGAGGAGGGACCUAAGCACAUUCGUGAUUCUUAGUCUCUUGAGAUCCGUGAGCGAGACCGAAGCUGGAGAAGGAAAGGAGGCAGCAAGACCUAUUUCUCCGAUAGAUGAUCUAUAGCUUCAUAGAGAGAGAGAAAGGAAGCUCUCCUUCACUACGUUCCACCAGCUUAAGUAAGACAUCGAUACCCAGCAUACCAUUAUGACUAGUUAGGGCGAUCCCGCGCGGGAAGGCUAUAUCUGACCUUUGACUUUGCUGUUUCCACCUCUGCUUGCUCUGAUGCGGGCAAGUAGGAAGAAAGCAUAUCAAGGGCUUUCCAAGAUGCUUUACAAUACAUUACAACAUGUGAUAAAGAUAAAGAUAAAGUAGUGAAAAACUUUUCACUCUAGAAGUAAGAAAUAUAUCUUCAGAAAGGCAAACGGGAUUUAUUCCGUAGCGUGCAUCCCCAUAAGGGCUGAUUCGCUUUCCAGACUAGAGACCCUGUGCCCUUUCUUCGAGCUUUCACUCAUAGAUUCGCACUGCUUUUGUUGAAAAAAAAACGGCCAAAGCAUAGUGAUCCACCGCUUAUUCGAGUUAGUACAGGAAAAAGAGCCAGAUAAAAUUACUAUUUUUCGUAAACAUGGUUUUUCUAUUUAGUCGGUUCGAGCACGCUCAUUAAACUAAAGAGUUCAUUUCCCUAUUUCCUCAUUCAAUCACCAAAACGAAAGUAGUACUUUUCUUUUGGAAGAAAAAGUUUUGAAAGACACUUUCUUCUUUACAACGAUAGCUCGCCUUACUGCUCUUAAAUCCCUACUAGCCAUCUCUUCCCUCCCUCGCCCAGGCAGGGCUGGUGACAUCUAAGGAGGAUGGAGCACCUUCCAUUGAAGAAUAGGCAUGGAAGGAAUGCCCUAUUUAUCUCUUUGAUAGAAGAAGCAGCUUACUUUCCACACCUUGCCUACUUGACAACGCUUUUAUAUGGAGUGGCUUCAACCCAUCACGCAUGAAAGUGCCAAAGGAUUUUCUUUACGACAACUCAGAGUCGAAUUGGUCCUUUGCAAGUGGACGCCAGCCGUAGAGCCCUAGUUCUAGCCUACUAUGUAGAGUAGAGUAGACUCUUACUUGAAAAAAGAUAAGUUAAGAAAUCAAUUCUUAUUCGCUUUUCACUUUCACUACUGGUCAAAGCUCGUCCUUAGAGACUACUGCCUUACUUUCAAGAACUCACUAGGGCUAGCUUAUUAGGGAUAGGUUAUUCAGCUUGCUGACAAGGUUAGUGCUUACCAGGCUAUAUUCUAUCAAUAAAAUUGCUUAGGGAUAAAAGAGAUUGUCUUAUCCUACUUAGGUAUUAGGGUUUAGAUGACCUCCUCAUCCUCUUGAGUAUGAUGCAAUUACAUCGGCCCUCAUGUAUUAUUGCAUCAAUACCCCAUCAUAGGCAAGUUUACACACUGGGACAACAUAGGGUGGGCCCCACCAGAGAGUAGCCAACAGAACCAAGAACAAGAUCUAGCAGAUGGUGGGAGAUUCUCGCUCGUGAUGAAACUAUCAUCUCCUACGAGAAUAUGCACUACAUCGGCAUCAAUCAACCUGGCUUCGCGUUCUAUUCUUACGAUAGGGGGGCUCAAUCUCGUCAGUCUCCUGGAUUCCAGUCAUGUCUCUACCAUCGGUUUCUCCCUUUUCUCCGGCUGGCGUAAUAAGGAGGGAGUCAGAGACUACCAACUCGACAAUGUUGGCUCGAUCAUGUUUAUAUUGGCAGGAGGAAGUACAGCAUGCUUCUUAAGCUUAUUUUCCAAGGCGCGGCUGAGAGUUAUGCCGAACGGAGUGAAAGUCCUGAGUGUCUUUGGUUUUCCGUCAGACAAGAUAUUCACUUCACUGUUCUUGCUUGUUCCCCCCAGGGCUAUCUUCUUUCCUUUUGGAUCUGCCUCUUUGACCUGUGAUCCAUGAGUCCCAUCCCAUUGUAGAUAGCAUCUUCAAUACGAGUGGCUGCUUCAAUCAAAGAGCGUGGUCAUCGCUUGGAAAUAGAAAUAGUCAUGGUAUUGCCUACUCAUGUUAUUCAUCAUUAUCCGAACUUGUUCCUUUUCUGGGGAGAGAUCAAUCACUUGGGCUGCUUUGGCCUUCCAACGGGCCAGGAAAUUGGUCACAAUCAUAAAAGACCUGAACCGGAGGUGCUUGAGGUGCAGUAGAAGGAACAGACUUUGAUUGAUGAGAGAUUUUGGAUAAGAGUUCAUAAAAGGCGCUAGCCUGUUUCAUGGUCAGGAAGGGAAAGGAAAGAGCUGGGUUUCUAACAAAAAAGGAAACGUUUCCGUAGGAAAAAUCUAUCACAUGGAAACUCGAGUAAAUAGAAGUUUUUUUCAAUCCUUGGUUGCAAUGGUUCAAUCGAGAGAAGAGCAAGUCAAUUUCAUAAAUUGGAACAACCACAUCAGCUUCAUUCUUUUCGCAUAGGGGUAGUUUUGUCAACUCGCCUGAAGACCACUGGAAUCGUAACCAAUACCCCUGGCCACACAAUUCAAACCUACCAAACUCUAGUACUUACAUCCCUAACCAUUAUCCACCUUCUCUCAUUCUCUCUCUGCGAAUGAGCUAAUGCUUUUUUUUUCGAUCCCUGCCACACCCGGCAUCGUGUUACCAUUUGAUGACUUCUUAGGGGGACAGUUUAAGUAAGAGUAGGGAUAGUUGAAAGAGUAGUUAGAUGAGUCCUGACUCCUGCGUAUUUGUACGAGAUACCUUAGAGCUUCAAAGUGACAAAGUCCGGUGUGAGGUUAAUUGAACAUAUUGAAAUAUGGGUCCCCACACAAAUAAAGUAAGAAACCAGAUUUUCCUUAAGGAAUUGGCUCUGAGGCCCGGCAACUCGAACUUUCCUAAGCAGGAAGGAAGGAAAGAUAAAAUCAAGAUCUUUCUUUAUUAUUGCAUCCCUCUAUCCCUUACGAUCUGAUCUAUGUUCUGUACCAGUGUGAAUACAUACUCUUUAGGCUGGUUUCUUUACCGAUUCAGUGUCCCUGCUUGACUUGCUUGGAUUGCGUACAAAGCUUCCCCAUAUUUCUUAUAGGGAUGAUGACCACUGACAUUUGACAUUGUCUUCAUUCGUUUACUGCUGGCCUGAAUAUUCCAUAAUUGGAUGGAUGCCCGAGCAUAUGCUCUUGUAGGUGCCGUAGCCCAUUCUCUCCAAAGAAAGGAAGCAGGAAGCGAUCCAUACGUUUUGUCUGGUUGGAAGAAGAAAGAAGCAGCGAAAUUACGGUGCCUAAAGAAUGGGGGUUGAAGUGAGGACAUGACAGAGUGUGCGGAAAGCAGGCUUGACCUAACUAAAGUUACGGCGGAGCACUGGGCUGUAGAUUUUCAAGUGGGAAUAGGAAUAAGCGCCUCAGAGUGUUAAUUUUCCGAUGAGUAGGGAGACUUACUCACUCUUGAAAAAGCUUGAAUCAUCCGAGAAUCCUAGUUUAUUUUUUUUUUAUGGAACACCCGCUUGCUAACUGACUUUUGUCAAGCCCGUCUCCACGAGAUCUAUUUUCAUCCGAGGGAGGGGCAACGUCCCAAAGCUGGACUUCCCGCUGGAAGCUCCCUAUUCUGAGUGGUUGAUAAGCCUGCUCAUACGAGAAGAGCCCUAGUUUUUUCGGAACCACACAAUUGAGAGUGGCCCGAUGCACCGGAGCCGUGUGACCAGCCACGAACAAUCGAUGCGUCUGCCAAACUACUUCAAAAAGGAAAACACGAGCUAAACCAGUAAGUAGUUGCUUUGCUUUGGACUGUGAUUUCGUAAGCGAAUUGCUUUAACACUCCUCUUUCAAUCAGCAGACCAAAAAAUAAAACUCGUUAUUCCACGCACGUUAUUAGUAGUUAGUAUUAGUAAAGGAAAGACAAAAAAAUAGCAAUCGAGUAGUUCAAACGAGUAUAGAUUUCUACAGGUAGACAUCAGGUUAGGUUAGUAGAACAGAUAGACAACGAACAAGUAAGGGGGCAAUGCUUACUCCCACUUAAACUUCUCCAACAAUGCCGAGGGGUUGAUACCUUCUACCCUUUCAAUUCUAUUACCAAUAGACAGCCCUUACGUUUAUUUUGCGCGGAUUGGGGAAACACCUACCUUAAGCUACGCAAUUUCACUCUUUAGGGUAGGGAUUCUGGAGACGAAGCAUAAUCUAGAGACGAAGCAGACACCACAAAACCAUCUUCAGGUUCGAACCCAACUACGGAAAGUAGAAAUCUCCAUUCCUACACUAAUUCGGCUCUUUUCUUGUCUCCGGACCUGUGAAAAACCACACUCGUACCAACACCCACGGAGAACGUUGCACCUCUUAAGAUAUUACCCAAAACCAGGCAUAUUCUCAUAUGCUUCACAACAACUAACGUUUAUAACCAACAACAACUACUACCAACGAGAAACGUUACCUUACAACGUUUAUAAACUAGGAAUCAAAACACAAUUCCAUAAUAAUACAACUACCUACGGCAGCUUCGUUUUGCACACAGAGGAGGAUGAUCGUUAUUUAAGAUUAUAUGUGAAUUGCUAAUAUUAAAUAGGAUUCCAUUCUCUUAAAGUUCUCUUUGUCUUCGAGCUUUUAUUCCUCAAUCCACUUAUUCGUUCCCUUCUUUCAUAUACCUCCCCACCAAUAAAUAGAGACAAAUGGGAAUAACCGAACCACGUCUACAAAAUGCCAGUACCAUGCAGCUGCUUCAAAGCCAACGUGAUGCUUCUUGGUCAGAUGACCAAGAUAUUGGCGAAUACCACAUACGAUCAAGAAAAGAGUACCUAUAAUCACAUGAAAACCAUGAAAGCCAGUUGCUAAGAAAAAGGUAGAACCAUAAAUACUAUCCGAAAUAGUGGAGGGUGCUUGGUAAUAUUCCAUUCCUUGAAAGCCAGUGGAUACUAGAGCCAGUAAAACGGUUGCUACUAAAGCGUAAACUGCUCGUUUUUCCUUCCCCGCGAGUAUAGCAUGAUGAGCCCAAGUUACGGCAGCUCCGGAUGAAGGGAGAAUAGGGGUAUUAAGAAGAGGGAUUUCCCAAGGAUCUAAAACCCCAAUCCCUUUUGGGGGCCAAAUACCUCCGAUCUCUACCGUAGGUGCCAAAGAAGAAUGAGAAGAAGCCCAAAAAAAAGCAAAAAGGAACAUAACCUCCGAGACUAUGAAGAGAAUAGAACCAUAUCGAGGUCCUAAUUGUACAGCUUUUGUAUGAUGCCCUUCCAACGUGGAUUCACGUAGAACAUCCCGCCACCAUACGAACAUGGUAUAAAGGAGAAAUAUUAGGCCCAAACUGAGAAGUGUUGCACCCCCUUGAAAUGAGUGCAUGUACAUCACACCUCCUACGGUGGUUGCCAAAGCUCCGAGUGAACCCGAAAUAGGCCAUGGACUUGGAUCUACCAAAUGAUAAGAAUGCCUCUGAGAUUCAAUCAUAAACCACUUUGCCCCGGUUGUAUGUAAACCCCCCUUCACCCCCAUCCCCUAAAGUGGUAAAGAAGGAGGCUCUUCUUUGUCUCAUUAGGACAAACAAAUAGGAAGGGAUAGUUCUUUCAUUGCAUUGAUAGAAGUGAUACUAUCAAAAGAUCUCUCUAUUAUUUUAGAGAAGAGUCGGCGUUGGUUCUACCAACGAAACGAAGAAGUUUUGGAUUGGUCUUUAUCAUGUCAUGGGAUAACCCCCCCGAAAGAAGAGUGCAAAGACCAAGUUCCCAUUUCCUCCGUUCAUCCACGAGAAUCGAUAUUCGUUCUUUCCACUUUGAAUACGUCAAUUCUCAUCCGUUACUUGAGAUUCGAUACGUAAGAUACGUCAUUUCUCAUCUGUAACUUCCAUCCGAUAAGGGCAAUAAAGCCAAGGCAAGCUCAUAUUUGCGUAUCUAAAGGCUUGGUGUGGAGUUUUGGGGAGGUUUCGGGAGAUGAAAAAAGCCUACUUUUACAGCUAAGUGAUUAGGACUUGACCGAAAAAUAUUGCUCUCAAAACAUGCAUUUAUGAGGUAAACUAGAAAAACACUACUUUUGACCCAGUGAUCCGCACUUUUUUCAUUGGAAAUCGAGUUUCCUUAGGGAAAAAGGACUUGCUAACUUUUGCAGCUAUAUGAAACGGACUUGCCUACUUUUGCACCGAAGAAACUCAAAAAUAGUCUUUCUCAAAACAAAAGCAAGGUAGGAUUUCUACGAAACAAGCCCGGAUAGGUAACUAGGCGGAUAGGAAGGAUUUCUACGAGCUUCAGUUCAUGAAUUGAAAUAUGCAUGCAUCCCAUUCAUAAGGAGUAGCUGGCUAUCCGUGUGCAACACUCAUUUCUUUCUAGGAAGAUAAGAUCCCGCUCUAAGGCAUUGGAGCUGCUGGAAUAUGAUACGAAAAUACAGAUUGAUGUUUCUGCUUCUCCUCUCUCGGGAAUAGUUUACCGACCGGGCCACCUGUAAAUUCUUUAGUUAAAACAGGCCUCGGGAGUAGUCAUCCUAGUAUCGAAAAUCAUCUUUUUUUCUUUCCGCGUUGAUUCUCCGAUUAUACGAUGGCAACAUGUGUGAAGUCUAGUACCAGAUCAUAUCGGGGAUAGCUAGCUCAUCAGCAGUUCAUUUCUAUGUAUGGCGAGAAGUCCAACUGUCAAGCAUGGCACGAUUCCAGAAUCAUCGCUUGGCUGCUGCUUAGAUGAGAUGAAACCUGAGCUGACUUCUCUGUUGGCCAGGCCUGCUUCUUAAGUGAACUCAUCCAUUCCCUUGAUUGAUUAGUACAGAAGGAGGCGAUAUCGUGUCAAUUCCCUAAAGAAAACCGUCUUUUCCAAUGAUUUAGGGCCCAUACCCCAAUAAUGAUGACGAAGAGGUCUUCCUGCUUCACUUCAAAAACAGGGCUUCCUGACCCGAGAAAAGAGUGCACAUGGAAGUAGUUCCGCUCAAUUCUCCAAUACGACUUCGGGUGUGACCCCAACCCCACCAAAUGGUGAUCCUCGAGACCAAAGGGCAUUGAACGAGAGAGAAGGAAAUCGUCCACAGAGAAUCGGAGUAUCCGGCCUAGUGAUAGUUAGAAAGAGUUGGCCAAUACAGAAUCUCAUGCGCCUCUCAUUGAUGAACCCCUUUUUCCUUUAUCCUCUACUGGUGGCUGAUUGAUUGAGCGCCGGUCUCACUCAUUCUUUAUGAGCGGAAGCCAUGCACCUAUCACCUAUAACCGGAGAAGUACUAUAGCGCACCUGGGGAAGUACUAUACGGCACGGCACCUUCGGCGAGGACUCAACUCAACAGAGAAUGAUUUGACAAACAUUGAUCCGCCAGCUCAACUCUGAAAAAGAAAAGAGGAGAAUCUCUCUAGCUUGUGGAAUCACUUCCCUGGAUGCUUAGAUAGCUCGAGAAAGUGCGCCACUUCUCCCUGAGAAUCUAAUCUAUGGUAUAAAAACAGAUAAAUAGGCUCAUUAAGUGAAGUGAGAACAGAACUCGAUCUUUGCUAGGCGUGAGAAGAAGAUAUCGGUCCUUUGGCCAUCGGGAGCAGUGGUAAAGAAAUCCUUUGAAUGGAUCAGUGAGUUCCGGCACGAUUGCUGGAACGAACGGAAUCUACGGGAACGAGAUCUUUCUGUUGGCACGAUAUCUUUCAGGAACUGCGCUAAGGACGAAUGCUUGAUUUGCAAUCUUUCAAGACGAUUUUCUUGUAGCAGAUGUGGAAUCCAGAUUGGCAUAACGGGUUCUACGUGAAGUCAGCCGUUCGUCAUCAUUUGAGGGUUCGGGUCGGGAUCAUGGCCAUAAAUCGCUACUUUUUCCACUAGAGCGAAUAGCAUUCUUCGAAACAGGCACGCACAGGACUUGAAGCAGAAUCAGAGAGUGAUCCCUUUCCAACAGACUGAUCGAAUUCCAGUGAUACACUACGCCUGGCACUAUUCGUCACAUUAGUAGUUAAGUUACUCAUUUGUUACGAACAAAGAGACGCUAGAGAUUCUAUGAACUUCAGAUCGAUGCCAUUCACUAAUCUCAAUCGUCUUUCUAUGGAUUUCUGGGCCGAUGGGCGAUAAACCUUCAAAGUCGCUGCUACGGGCUCUGUGGUGCGUCUCAGAGCCCUUCCCCGUGGGGGGUUCCCGUUCUGCUAAUCUUGCUAUCUUCCCCAGGUUUGCUCGUUUCGAUUGGAACAAGAAGUCCGUAUUGGUAUUUCUUGGUAUUGGUAGCAGAUGUGAAUGAAUUGCAAUUUCCGAGGAGUAGUAAGGACGAGUAGUAGCUGUGGAUGCCAGUGUGGAAGAUCAUAUUCUCACAAGUGAAUACGGACUUCCGUUCCGGAUUGGGAGAUCUGCCCUGGCUAAAGACAUCGAACUGUGGAUCAGUCGUGAAUCAAAUCGAAAUCAGAAAUAGAGGAAUAGAGUCAUCCUCACCACAACAAAGCUAUGGGUCGGCUUCAAGCCAAUAAGUAGGAAACCAUGCAGGUACGAGAAAAAACAAACCCAUUACUUGAUUCAGACACUUGAGGAAGGUGUCAACGGACGGCACAGCUCCUCAGAGGCAACCCAUCAAAUGGAUCUUUAGCGGCUCUAGUCUAGCCAAGGGAACGGGUAUCACGUAUUUCCUUGAAGGCAGCCUAUAACCAAGCGGAGAUGCUUCUGCCUUUUGGGGAGGCCUGUUUGUUGUACAAGAGGAGAAGGUUCGUAUCUCCUUUCCGAAAAGAUGCAUCUAUUUUCCUAUCUUUGGCCAAGGUAACCCGUAUUGGACAAGCUUGCCUUUUGUGGGAGCAUCGUUUCGAAAACUAGUCUAAUUGAUUUCUUUUUAUUUAGGAGAUGCUUUUCCGUUACUUGACUUUCACUAGUGUGAUGCCGAUCUCUUACUCGAAUGCUUCUGCCACUUUAGGAAGGGAUAGAGGAAACAAACUGGGAAUAGGAAUUGAUAGCGGUAGCUGUAGAUAGGAGAUAGGAGUGCGGACCAACACAAAUACUCGAAUAAACUGAGCCCUGGCGAUAAGAAAGUAUUUCACAAGUUCCGAAGUGCCGUUCAAUUCAAUUCAAGGAAGACGCAUCCCUGAAAGAAGGUCGUAGGGAGAGAGGGUUCUCGAUACCGGGCAUGGAAAAGGCAGAGAAGGUUCUCGAUACCGGGCAUGGAAAAUAAGUUCCUUUGGGCUUUUGAGUCGGAGGAGACUGGCCACCUUUCCUACGCAAAUCUUCAGCGCAAAUGCAAAUAUGACUUGAGAUUGGAAAUAGCAAUUCCAGGCAUCCAUGCUUCUUUAGGCCCAGACCCUAUAAACCAACUUUAGGAAAUCUUAUGAAAUACGCCGGUCUUAGUCUUAAGCAGCCUAGCACUAUCGAUCAAAGCGACAACCCUCUAAAUAAACUUCCAUUUUCUUGAACACGGGUAAAUGCCAUUCUAUCUCAACUAUGGCGCAUUUGACCGAGGUUUUCGUCUCAAGUCCACUCCUGAAGCCCUGCCGAUUGAAGCAGAAAGGCUCUUCUUAUUCUUUUUAGGGUAUGGUAUCGGACUCGAAACCUUCAAAGUCGCUGCUACGUGCUCUGUGGUGCGUCUCAGAGCCCUAUUCCAUGUGGGGGUUGGAAGACAUUUAUUUGAUCCCAGAGGGAGGAAUAAUUAGACCUCCCUCUGGGUUGAGGAUACGUAGCAGUGGAAGAUGCCGGUACAUUAUACGUCUACUCACUUCCUAAGCAAAAAUCACGGCAAAACUUUCUUUCUUUUCGAAAACUGGAUUCGGGUUUCCAGAGGUAGGGCAAAAAUACGGGGUUUCUUCCCUCGAUCAAUCAUCCGGCACCUUGACUCGUAGUGCCGCACUGGCACUGAUCUAGACUAGAGUUCGACACCCGUGCUUGUGAGCGAGGUUUUCACUUCUCACUCGUAUUGAUUGAUGCCGUGGACUUGCCAGAGAGGAAUAUAGGAAGGAGUGUCAGCGCUAUUCAAUACUUUUUGGUGUCGACGGAACUCAAGCAAGGAGUUCCCAUCAAAAAGGUGAGAACGAACUCACUCGAUCUUUGCUAGAGGUAUUGGCCAACGGUGCGGCUUCUGAACCAGACUAGAGAAAUGCUUGACUGCCCGAUAUGAGAUCCGCUAUACUUAAGAACUGUGGCACUUGUUAGGUCUGGGCCAGGUACGAGCACUUAGAGGUUUGAGCAAGCAUUCAUGCAGAACGUAAUCUGAACGUAAGUUUUCGAUUAGUGAAUGAUGUGAACCAGUGGAAUCUCGUACUAGAUAGAGACUGCCAUCCAUCCGGACUAGAGGGCUAUCUACAUUUCUGUGCUCGUAUCACCUUUCAAAGACAGGUUUCAAUGGGGGUCAAAUCUUUCUUCCCUCGGAGCUUUGAAGCUGUUUGGUUCGCCAUUAGAGCAGCACCUUUCUCCGCUAAAGCCCAUGCUUGGAAUAAUAGGGUUCAGUGAUCCCCGGUCUCUGGGGAGUCAGUCUCGUAUCCAGUCCAGAACAGCUCGUUUAGUCAGCAGGCUUAUGCGCUAGUCGCCAUCUCCAGAUCCGGCUAAAGAGUUCGUUUACCCACACUGGCAUCAACUUAAACUACUUCUCUCUUUUAUGUGGAUUGCUAUCCUACGACGAGCUGUGCUUACUCCCCCUAAGUGGCAUACUUGCGCCUGUGCUUGAAAUCAAAAAUAUAUUGCCUUUCCACAACGGAUCACAUUCCUCUAGCCAUGACUGAGAUCUAUCUUCUACCAGGACACGGAUACGAGUAUAGUGCCAAAGAGUAAUGCCGCGAAGAGGUCAACCUUUGCUUCCGAAAGCCACUGUUUUAUGUUUAUGUUCCUGAGGUCCCUCCUCUCCAGGGGUUCAACAGAAGGAGUUUAGGCCGGUGUCCGCCCUCAAGAGUGCCAAUCCUGAGAUCUUAGAGUUGUAGACCGAGUCGAGGGCUGCUUCUCAAUCAAGCGAUCGGCAACAGCCACGAGAGGAGAGUGCACUAUUCAUUCUAAGUGUGGGAUGGGAUCAGCUUCUAAGCUUUUAAAGCCCCCCCAUCUGCCCAAAUCUUAUUAAUCUCAAGCGGACCUGGUGGUUGGAAAUACUAUUAGAGGCAUAACCUACGUACGUGUAUCAUUAGGUGCCGGGUGGGUAAGUUCUUUCAGCUGCAAUAUGGGGCUUCUUCUUUGUUGGAAAAGCUUUGAUAGAAACGGCAGGCUUCUACCAAUGGAAAAUAGGUCGAGACCACGAACACUAGACACUAGGAGAUUGCUUUCGCCGUCGGCAUAUGCGGAAGUAUUCGUUCUUUGAAAUAUUCGAUCCACAAGCAAGCUCUAGUCAAGUGUAUUCGAAGAUACAAAGCAUAGCUAGGAACAAUGCAAGAUUACACAGACUGUACCCAUGAUAGUAGUGGUGGCUAAUGGAAAUUGAAUUUCCACUUUUUCACAUAAAUCACUACAAGGCCUGAAGAGGAAGUAAAAGUCCCCAAUGGGUGAGAUGAUGUGUGGCUCAGCCUCUACUCAGAUUGAACGUUCUGAAAAGAGCAGUUCUUGAGGGGAUCUUGUACCAAUGGUGAAGAUUGAGGCAAUGGAACGCCUAAACCAAAGAAAGAAAAUAAAGCAAUUAAGGCAUUUGAUACUAAUGGAUAUAGCCCUAGCCUUCAGAAAAGGAAAUCCAAUAGUGCGUCCGUGUCCAAUUCGAAGUAAGACCCCAUUCCCAUUCCAGUUACUUCAUAAUGUGCCAUACCUGAUUAUGGCCACGAUUCCAAUUUUACAUAAAACCAAACCAAGGUCUGGCGAAUCCUCUUCCCAACUGGCCUGGAAUGAGAUCCAGAAAAGGACCUGGCAAGAGAUACGUCUGUCUUGUUGUGAUGCGAGGAAUAGGCGAAUCUGUCGUGAUAGAAAACAACCCUUUGUUGCUAUGCUAAUGGAUCUGCUCAGGGAACUGGCCAGGGUUCAGUUGAAGACAGGAAUGGAAAUGUUUCCCAACUAGAGCUACGGCACUUUUCCAAUAAACGGAAGCUCAAGCCAAGCCUAAAGCGAAGCAUCCGCCUCCUCUUUACUAGCGAGUCUAGUUUCCUACAGGGCAAGGGCGUAGACUGGUUUCGAGUCCUAUAGGAGGAUCAAAGUAUUAGAGCUCAAGUAGUUCUCUUACGACCUAGUCAAUACGCAUUGGAAUCAUGGCAUCCCCUCCACCGUAGUAAAGUAAGAAGUAACGGGUCUACGCCCAGCUUCCUUGUUCCGGAAAUGAAGGAUCCAUGCAGAAGUGGACUCUCUUUCCGUUCUGUUCAAAGAGUUGGCCUGGUAUUCUAGUUACUCUAGACCUAUUCCCUUCGAAAUAGAAACUCUUGCCAGAGCUGAGUAGAAAUCAUCAUUACCGCCGCAUUUACUAUACUAGACUAGCGCCUAAGAUAGCUAUAAACAUGGUAUGUCUUAGAGCGAUAUGAGUAUUCUUUACCAGCACCACCCAGGGAUCCAACCACAAUCAGAAAUGGAUACGUUAUAGUUUCCAUCCUUGACUUUACUAGUCCUAUAACCGGCAUCCAAGCAAAUAGACUUGUCUUUCUCUUUCUCUUUUUCCCUAGUCCCUAGUAAUAGGAGAUCCUUCCUGUUCUGGAUAUGUCCUCUAUUCCAUCCGGUUUGGACACAGAUUGUCAACGGUGAGGUGACAUGACCUUGAUCAAUAGAUCCCUUACUCUGGUCCCUAGUUCCUUACCUAUUUGAUAGGGAAGCGUUUCGAUAUCACCUACCAUGAACUCAGAUGGUGUUUGCUGACGAAAGAAAAAGGCUGGUUUUGGCCCAUAGUGAGCAGCACUGGCACUCAAAAGGGAUCCUUCCGCCUGCCGGGAAUAAGUACCGGCACCCUUACAGGAAUCAAAUCUCUUGGAACGAGAUCAAGGGCCGAAGGAAGUCAACUGCGAAUCGGUUCGGUAGUGAAGAAAAUAUCUCUUGUCUGCUCUUCAUCUUCAGCAACGCGUGAUGCGAUAGUGCCAGAGAAUAUCUUCUCUUCUCUUGUUGGUAGGAAAGCAGUGGUGAAUGAAAAGCGGUUCUGUUCCCUUCCGGGUGAAUGGAUGGGAAAUGGAAAUAGACUAACACUCACACAAAAGAGACAAGGAACCAGAAAUGCUUACUACUGACCAGCUCCUAUUCCUAUGCCAAAGAGGGAUUCGAGUUUCAGGGGUAGAGGGAAGCUUUAGGAAAGGAUAGAUGCACACACAAUCUGAUAAGCCUGCCGACUAAUCUCCCUAACAACCGGCGCUGGAUACCUGAGACCCAGCUGGCACUUCUCUUGAUCCAAGCGUUGGUCUAGUUUCCAUCGGAAAGUUAUAUGUUCUUGUUAGGCGGUAGCAAGCAGUAUCAAAUUUCUGUCGGUUCAGUUCAGAGAAAUAGGUCUAAAUAAACCGGGCUUGUCCCGUAGAUUGUACUAUCCCCCUUGCCCAACAGGAACUGGAACUGGAGCUCUUGCCUUCUAUUUCAAUUAGUUGCUUGAUGGAAAGCAAUAGGCAAUCGGCUAGAUUGCACAUCCAACCUGUUCACUGAUUUAUGCUGCAGGCACUUCAGAAACCUGAGCUGGGUUAGGUAGCGGUUCCACUUCUCAAGUUUGGAGCCUCUAAAGAAUUCUCCGCCUCAGGAUCUGGGUCAUAGAAUUUGAGCCAUUGGACCUUCCUCUUUUCUUUCGAAAGGACCUUUUCUCUAGGACCGAACAAGAAGAUCCAUACUGUCUACUUUUGAACUAUGUAGCUAUUGAGAAAUCUAGUGCGGAGCCAAUAUCGUGUUCAUGGUGGCCGGCGCUUCCGAAAGACAUCACGUCCUUCUCUUUAGUUUUAAGCAAUGUGGUCUUCCCUGGUUGAGUGAGUGAGCCCGGUACCUACAGCCUGAUCUAAGCAGUAUUCCGAGGGGAUAGAAACGGAAAGCAAGACGAAAUCCUGUGUUGAAAAAGAACCUUGCAAGGAAGGAAUGAAGCUAUGGAUAUAUUUGAGUAAAAAGAGGAAAUUGAAGCCCAAUCACAGUGGUGAGCAGAGCCCUCGUCCCCGAUAUCGAUAUUUAUUUUCCUUCGCAAUCCAUUCCUUAGAACCACUUAAUCGGAUUUUGAAACAGGCAGCUAAAGAGAGUCCCAUGGGCAUGCAUGGGGGGAGAGUCAUUCCUAGCGGUAGGUGGGUCGUUUCCUGCGUCUUAUCAUGGCAAGGACACUUUUUACAGGUCCAUCAAAUAGAAAUCCUUCUCUUCUGGGAAACCUAAAUUCUAAACCAAAGUGGUGAACUGGUUGGCACUCUGCACUCUUCUACUUCAGUUUCUACCCCUGUCCUGUGGUAUAGGCAAAUGCACUUUACUAGUUAUGCGGCCCGCCCUAGAUUACCAAGUUCCUCUUGGAGGAGGAGGUACCAGUGCCAGUUUCUAGAAUCGUAUAAGGAUCUGCUUCUCUUCUGCUUCUGCCGCUCGCUCUCGCUAUAGUAGGUAACCUCCCCUCCGGUCGAUAAACAAGAGAAGUAUGUGGCAGCUCGGUGUUUGUGAUUGAACUGAUAUUUAUGUUAUUCCUCGCAUCGCAACAGGACGGAUCUUUAGAUUGUACAGUAGGAACGGAAGGCCCCGCACUCUCUUUCCUUGGUUCUUACUUCCGUUCGUGGUAGGACCUCCAUCCUUCCACUCACUCAUACUGUCCGUCUCAUACUCAUAGUACCUAUAUUCCUAUCUUAUCCUAUCUUUCUUUUUUAACCGGACAAAGAAAAGGGAGAUUGUUCUACGAUUUUCCUCAGUGCGGAAAAGGUGCAAAUAUGUCUCGUUUUUCUGUCUUUUUUCAUCGUUUUUGAUGGUUUUUCUUGUUUGUUUUUCAGAGGGAAAAUAAGCCCUUACUUAGAUGGGGUGAAAUGAAAGAAAAUGAAACGAGUUGACUGCACAGUAGAAUAUGGGGAGUCGUCUAGUGAAGUUUGAAGGAAAGCCCUCUGGGGGUUAGGCCAAUCCAAGAACUGCUUGCUUCCCCCAUUUCUACUGCAAAUAGCCAAUGCCAUCAACAACAACUCUGCGUUUCCCAGAACGAUAAUACGACCGAGAAAAGGAAGGAGUAGCAUUCCUAGAACGAUUCGCUUUACUCUUGACGGAAGUCCCUUCCUCUAAUUGGGUAGCUUGACUCUUAUCUUAGAAUGAAUAGCCUGCUGCACUAGAACGAUAAUACGCCUUUCCUAGAACGAGAAUACGACUGAUCUCCUAUUCCUCGCUAGAGAAGAGAUUCUUUGACAACUGCUCCUAUUCCACGCUAAAAAAGGCCGGGUAUCUUCUGGCGCACUACCCCAAAGGACAGUUCCGAUCUCCCAAUCCGGAAGUCCGUAUUCACUUGUUCGAAACGAAAGACUGUUCUCACAACUGAGUGAGCAUAUUUCCAAGGCAUUCCAGAGUAGGUGCUUUCUGGGCUUAACUUAAAGGGCCUAUUCCCUCCGCUUCUCGAAAUUACAUACUUAAAUAUCAAGAUCAAGUCAUCUGAGUUCCGUUUCGCAAGUAGUAUUCGAUUCUAUUAGCACGCUCCUCUUGCGUCUGCAGAUCCCAAAAUACGGAUUCUUACGGCAGCAGCAACUGAUCCAUGUUUCCCUUCGCCGGAAAGAAAAGAUAAGUUCAGCUAACAAGCAAGUGCCACUAGGGAAUCAGACUUUUGCAAUCAAUCAACGGCAGCACUCUGUUCGUAGUGUAACUCGAGUUAACGAACUGAUUCGAAUAGUGCCGGUUCCCAUGUUCAAGAAAAUGGAAAGCAGUUGAGUGCGAAUGCCAAUUGAAUGAAGUUUCAAAGUGGGGUUCUCCGUCUGCUCUAAGUACGAGAUAGAAGUUAUCUCGCAAUAAUCCACAGCGUAGAGGCUGCCAUAGCAGGUAGGAGUUUUGCCAUCAUAUCGGAUCAUCCGAACUAACCGGAGUAGGUUAUGCGAACUCAUCUCAGCCAUCCCAUCCCUUGGAGCUUGGGAUCUUAAGUGUGGAAACAAAAGCUAGGCGCCACUAUAGUCGCUACAAGGAGUGCAGUGCAGCUGUCUGUCUUUCGAGUAAGUAAGUUGAUCAGUUACUAUCGGUAGGGAGGUUGGUCUU